rnacentral:tRNA from 1 species
UCUUAUUAUAUAUACCAUUAUAACUUUAUUCUUUAGUAUUAAUUUAAGGAUUUACUUUAAUAAG